GAUGAAGAACGUAGCGAAAUGCGAUAAGUAGUGUGAAUUGCAGAAUUCAGUGAAUCAUCGAAUCUUUGAACGCACAUUGCGCCCCUUGGUAUUACAUGGGGCAUGCCUGUUCGAGCGUCAUUUGUACCUUCAAGCUCUGCUUGGUGUUGGGUGUUUGUCUCGCCUUGCGCGUAGACUCGCCUUAAAACAAUUGGCAGCCGGCGUAUUGAUUUCGGAGCGCAGUACAUCUCGCGCUUUGCACUCAUAACGACGACGUCCAAAAGUACUUUUUACACUCUUGACCUCGGAUCAGGUAGGGAUACCCGCUGAACUUAAGCAUAUCAAUAAGCGGAGGA
rnacentral:misc_RNA from 1 species